AAAUAAUAGUAAUAAUAUAUAUUUUUUUCUUGUUUUGUUGCAUUCAUAUACUCUGUGUCUAUAUUUUUAUAUAAAUAUUUAUACGCUAAUAAUCAAAAUUUCGAAAUAUGUCAAUAUUGCGCUGUAAUAUACGAGACGUGGAACCUACCACCUCCAGCUUAAAACGAAACGAUUAUCAUUUACACACACCAUUAUUUGUGCUCGAUGUUAUACGUUUAUUUCAAGACCAUCCCAAAUAUAUUGGUGGACUAAAGGAGAGCCAUAUAGUAGGCUUAUUACAAAAAGAAGAUAUUGCUACCGGCGAUGUAGAAGCCCAAGUGCGAAUGGCCUUAAAGGAAUUAAUGUCUAUUGGUUUUGUACGUUUUGUUUCUCAGGGAUAUCGCACCUUGGGUCCUUUUGCUAAAUUAGCUUUAGCUCGCACACCACAUCAGCAGAAUGUAGCCUGGGAACGUUUGAAUAAAAUGCAAAAAAUUAAUUGUAUGAAUUUUGGAUCAUCAUUUUCUCUCUCUUGCAGUUAAAUUUAAUAAGUACAAAAAUACAUAUUUUACUUUUGGAGUUUUAAAUAAGAGAUCUAAUUAACUAUUCAAUCAUUACUACAAAUAAUAACUGCUUAAUUGUUUGCAUCCAGAGCUGUGAAAACAACGUGUAGUGCGUGUAGAAUUUUAGUGGACCACUCGAAUUAUUAUUCAAAAAUCUUUGUAAUGUCCGUUUUGCACUUUACGGAUAUUGAAUUUUUAGAAAAUAAUGUGUGGUGCGGAAUAAUAUACAAUUAAUCAACAUGGCUUGGACAUACAGACAGAUUUUUAUAUGCUUCAGAUGAUUAUAUUAUAAAUUGUUGUAAUAAGUUUUGAUUUAAAAAUGUAUAGAAUUAUUUUAAAGGUUUUGUGAAAUAAAUAAAAUUUAGUUUACUUUUUACAUGUAUUAUUAAAAUUAUUAUAUGUAAAUGAUAAAAUUAAUUAAAUGGAAGUAAUUUUUUUGUAUUGUACAUAAUAAAUAAUUUUGUAAGUUAUGUUGCUAAAAAAUAAUCAUAAUAAAUAUUUUUAUUCAUAAUGAUAUUUAAGCAUUUGUAAAGGUUUUUAAUGUAAUAGACAAUUAUAACAAAAUUAUAAAAACUGUUUCCUGUUGACAUGACCAAAAUAUUGAAAGAAAAUUAUUAAUUAAAAG